rnacentral:rRNA from 1 species
UACGUAGGGGGCAAGCGUCGUCCGGAAUCAUUGGGCGUAAAGCGCGUGUAGGCGGCUCGGUAAGUCUGCUGUGAAAGUCCAGGGCUCAACCCUGGGAUGCCGGUGGAUACUGUCGAGCUCGAGUCCGGAAGAGGCGAGUGGAAUUCCUGGUGUAGCGGUGAAAUGCGCAGAUAUCAGGAGGAACACCAAUGGCGAAGGCAGCUCGCUGGGACGUGACUGACGCUGAGACGCGAAAGCGUGGGGAGCAAACAGG